AGAGUUAAACAGUACGUGAAAUUGUUGAAAGGGAAACGAUUGAAGUCAGUCGUACCGUCGGGAAAUCAGCUCCUCGGGUGGUGGAAUCGCGGGUGUAAGGGAGUUUCGGCCUCUUCGUUCGCGAUGUCUUUCUCCUUUGGGUGUACUUUCUCGUGUGGUAGGUUAACGUCGAUUUCGGUCGCCAUAAAAUGAUCGGAGGAAUGUAGCUUCAAUUUUUUUUGAAGUGUUAUAGCCUUUGGUAGAUGUGGUGAUCGGGAUCGAGGAUUGCAACGAAUACCCCUUUAGGGCUAUCCGUCUGAUCUCUGAUUGUCGCCCGGGUGCCGAAAGCGUGCUUACGGUCAUUCAGGUUUGACGGUCAAAAGGUUAGAACGUGAUUAAAUUCGUUAAGGACGUUGACGUAAUGGCUUUAAACGACC
rnacentral:rRNA from 1 species